rnacentral:rRNA from 1 species
GACGAACGCUGGCGGCGUGCUUAACACAUGCAAGUCGAACGGAAAGGCCCUGCUUUUGUGGGGUUCUCGAGUGGCGAACGGGUGAGUAACACGUGAGUAACCUGCCCUUGACUUUGGGAUAACUUCAGGAAACUGGGGCUAAUACCGGAUAGGAGCUCCUGCUGCAUGGUGGGGGUUGGAAAGUUUCGGCGGUUGUGGAUGGACUCGCGGCUUAUCAGCUUGUUGGUGGGGUAGUGGCUUACCAAGGCUUUGACGGGUAGCCGGCCUGAGAGGGUGACCGGCCACCUUGGGACUGAGAGACGGAGCAGACUCCUACGGGAGGCAGCAGUGGGGAAUAUUGCACAAUGGGCGGAAGCCUGAUGCAGCAACGCCGCGUGCGGGAUGCCGGCCUUCGGGUUGUAAACCGCUUUCGCAUGUGACGAAGCGUGAGUGACGGUAAUGGGUAAAGAAGCACCGGCUAACUACGUG